UACUGAGAAAGGCAAGUGGUACAAAGCUAACCACAUUUCAAUUAUCAUAACUCUAUAAGUGAGAAACUGCUAGAAAGUAAAUUGUGGAAUUUGUUUUAGGUGAAUGAAGGCCAAUGGGCAGGCUUUUCUAGGACUAGAGGAAGCACUUUAAUUUUUCUCAUUUCUGAGUUGCCACAGGACUUUCACAGUGUGUUCAAGGAUUGUCCUUUACUCUUUACCACAACUAAAGAAUGUA
rnacentral:lncRNA from 1 species